UACGGGGGGAGCAAGCGUUGUUCGGAUUCAUUGGGCGUAAAGGGUGCGUAGGUGGCGGGGUAAGUCUGGUGUGAAAUCUCGGAGCUCAACUCCGAAACUGCACUGGAUACUGCCUUGCUCGAGUACUGGAGAGGAGAUUGGAAUUUACGGUGUAGCAGUGAAAUGCGUAGAUAUCGUAAGGAAGACCAGUGGCGAAGGCGAAUCUCUGGACAGUUACUGACACUGAGGCACGAAGGCCAGGGGAGCAAACGGG
rnacentral:rRNA from 1 species